GACAAAAAUGCUGCCGACAAAACAAAACACGAUCGCAGCCGCCGUCGCCGCCGCCGUCGCCCUGCGCUCGUGUCCUCUCCAUCUCCCGCCUGCCGGAUGUCCGCCCGGAGCUCCACCUCCUCAAACCCUGCCAGUGCUCUGCCCCUUCCUCCUCGUUUGUCGCUCAGGGGCAUGGCGUCGUCUGGGACGUACCAGCCCGCACCCUCAAGGAGGCGGAGGACGCCUGCCUCCUUGCCGGUCCUGGCGCCUCCAAUGGCCGGCCGGCUCCAGUAGCAGCCACCAACGUACGUGAUCUCCCCCGGCUACCUUUAUCUAAAGCUCAAGGCUCGAAGGGAUGAGGUGGGCCAAGCCGGCGCACACGGCAAGUGGAUGCGGCUGCAGCUCCGACGAGGGCGCCGCAGAGGUGUAUGUGGAGCUGCUGCGGCUGGCGAUGGACGGCCGCGACGGCGACGUCAGCUUCCACGAGUUCAAUCACCUCCACUGCUACAUCAGGUUUGUUGCUUUCUCGCCUUUGGGUCCGGUCGAGGCUUUGAUUUGGUUGCUUUGUUCGACAGUUCCACUCUCCUGCGUCGAUCUGACAUCUGAUGGAUAAAGUAACUAAAUCAGUUGAAUUGAUGCACACUGUCAAUUCUGUGACCAAACAGGGAUGACAUUCUCACCAUGAAUUACAGAAGCUCAUACUCGCUAAACAGGUAGCUAGGGUGUAAUCAUGCACAAAGCGUUGGGUUCUCCAUGGAUCGUUUUGCGAUAACUACAACCAUGAGAGAACUUGAACUUAUUUGGGUGGCAAAUAGGAUGCACAUUGAGAAUCUCAACUCCUUGAUUCCCCCCUGUACUGAAUAGUGGUUGAACAGCAGGUUAAGGGAGCAUUCCUCAAAUUUUUUGGGGUUCAAUGGAAACGCAGGAGUGUGGAGAAUUAAGGCACUCGAGGACUCAGGAAUGUGGAUGGAGAGAACGACAGUUGAAGACAUGGAUAUUGCUGUGCGAGCACAUAUAAAGGGAUGGAAGUUUCUGUAUGGAAUUCUUAACGAUGUUCAGUGUCGGUGUGAAUUGUCGGAGUCAUACGAAGCAUACAGAAAACAACAAGAUAGAUGGCAUUCUGGUCCGGUGCAGUUGUUUAGACUCUGCUUUGUGGACAUUAUCAAAUCAAAGGUAUUAACGUAGGCAUAUUUUGAAAGAUGAGUUUUAUUUUCCGGGGAAAAGGAUAAGUUGAACUGCAUUAUAUUGAGCAGGAUGUUCAAAAUAUAGUUCCACUGUAAUUAUACUUCAUUUAAGUUUGUCAUUUUCUUGGAGUUGACAAGAUUUUACCUGCACUCAGUUGGAUAAUUAAGUACAGUUUGAUUAGUAUGACAAGUUAUGCCAGCAGGAUGAAUAUUUACAAGGUUGAUUAUCUCCCAGGAAGACAACUAGGAAGUAUGUUUGCAAAAUUGCAAGUUUUCAUGACUAAAUUAUAUAAUUAUAUAAACUGUGUUCCGCUUGAAGUUUGGUCAGUUAAAAUCAUGUUGACUCGCCUAUUCUUUAAUGGUUCUAUUUUGAUCAUAUAAUUAGAUUUACAUCUUGACUCGCUUGAUUUGAUAAAUUCCAUUCUUACCAAGGGUCAUCAUUUAUGUAUUUCCUCUUUGGAGGGCGAUCUUGUUGCCCACCGAGAAGCAAUCCAAGCAGCAGAGAGUAGGGUCUACGCCGAACCUCGACUCCCUAUCAAAGGAGGGGAAGUGGCUGCGAGCACGGCGUUGGGUCGAUGGUGUCGUGCCUCGGCAGCCGAGAUCAGGCAAGGCAGAUGGGAAGCAACAGUGUCGCCUCUCCCCCGAGCUCCAGAUCCAUGGCAGCAGCAAUGAGGUGAGCAGCCGCAAAGGUUCCCACCUGAACAGAUCGAGCUGUGACACCGGUACAACCACAACCUCCAAUACUACUACGACUGAUAGCUAUCUUCUACCCAAAUUGAUCAGGUUGGGGAUGGAGGGUGGUAAAAGGACCAUGUUAUCAUAGCAGUGGCGGUGGCUCAUCUUGGGUUACUCCGUCAUCCUAUAAAGUCGCCGACAGUCUAUCAGAUCUCUAGGAGGUGGCGUCCAGUGGUGAUGUCAGAAUGGCAGGGCCAGCUGUUGAUCCUGUAUGGCGUAUAGCACCGUAGAUGAAGUUCUUUGCCUGUCGCACCACUGUGCAGUUCAAGCCACUUACUAAUCCCUCCAUCUCAUUCUACUCUGCUCACAAGGCGUUUGACAGAUUGCAUCAUAUGUUCUUUCUUCACCAUUGUCUCUUAAUAUCAAUUGAACUCUGACAUUUCCCCUUCAUAUAUAUGGCGACCGAUACAAUAGCAUGCGGAUGUUUUGAAGUUGAGGCAGCUGAUGUUAUAUGUACCCCCUAUACCGAAGAAGUGGGCAUUCCAAUGGAUAGAUUGGGUCAAAUGUAAUCCAUAUAUACUACUUUUGAGAUCCGAUGGAGACAAGAAAAAUCGUGUUGCUGCUUCUGCUUUCGAUUGAACUCAGGACGACAAGCACUGAUUAUAUUAAAUUGUGAUAGCCGCUGCUGACACAGCUACUAUGGGCACGUGCAACUUCUAUUUUGCUCGCCACCAGAGACCACCGCCUAGAUCCAUCUCUUCUCAACCAUGCCGACACGGUGGUCAAGGGCGCUUACAACCUGUGAGGACCUGCGUUCUCCUUCUCUCGAGCCUUCGUCGCGAUGAAGCCGUGGGAGGAGAGGGGCACGCGCAUGAUGGAUCUGCUCAAGCACCUCAAGCAGCGCAUCUUCAAGGUACAGCUGCCAUCAACAUAAAUGUGGCUAUGUUGGAAGAUGGUACAGAAAUGUUCAUGCCGCUCAAAGCUAUUUGCAUGAAGCACUAUUAUUAGUAGUUACAGAAGAUGGCACUUACAAGGGUAUCCACCUCCUAUGAUGGAUAUUUUCGCUGUAGAACUUAUGCUAACUGGAUAUCAUAAUAUAUAUUAUCCAUGUAAGAAUCUAUUCAUUCUCAUUUUGUGAGUUCUCCUUAAUCGUUAUUUGAUUUUUAGAAUUUCACAUGAUGAUCCUUCAGGACCAUGUCAGUGUCUCCUAGAGAUUAGGUUCUUGUUUAGCUAAUGCUCGUGUUGCUGCUUAGAUGGCGAAACAUUGAAUCCUUUAGUGUCCAUAACAUUGCUUUGCAAACCCCCGCAAAGGAAAACAUUGCUUUGCAAACCUCUGGGACACUAGGGAUUGAUUGUAUUGCUUGGUUCCGGUAUCUGAGGAUCAUUUAUGCUGAAACAUUGUGGUGCUUUGCUAACUGAUGGUUGUUAUUUGUACUUGUCAAGAAAACUUGAGGCUAACGACCAUUAGUUCAAAUUUACUAGAGAACAAAUGUGUGUGUGUGUGUGUGUGUAAAAAUGGCUGAACAGAGUGGUUAAAUAUAAAAACAUACUCAGCCAGGUUAUGGAACAACUGAACAGAGUGGUGGAUUGGCUGGCGAAGCGUUUUGGCACUUGGUUAAAUAUAAGGUCUGAGCAUCGAAGGCGUUCUCAAAAGACGUUCGGAUAGGUCUUUCCCUUCUCGACCAUGGUUAGCGUUUUUCAGAAACGCUGUGUUAGACUUUUGAAGGCAUUUUUCCAGCCUUCAAAGGCAUUUAUUAAUGCCUCCUAAUUACUACCGUGUUUUAGUGUUGCCUCUUUUGGUUUGUGGGUCGGUGUUGAAGAUGCCCUAAAAGGAUAUGUAUUAUUCAUUUUCUUUUCCUUUUUUUUUGGCUUAAGAGAAAGUAUGGAUGGUAUUAUUG